ACCGAUAGUGAACCAGUACCGUGAGGGAAAGGCGAAAAGAACCCCUGUGAGGGGAGUGAAAUAGAACCUGAAACCGUCUACGUACAAGCAGUGGGAGCCUCCUUUGUGGGGUGACCGCGUACCUUUUGUAUAAUGGGUCAGCGACUUAAUGUUAGUAGCAAGGUUAACCGCAUAGGGGAGCCGUAGGGAAACCGAGUCUUAACUG
rnacentral:rRNA from 1 species